GCUGUGUACUGGCAAAGUGAGUAAUUGUUAUUUUCAUGCACCCCAUUAUUGGGUGGUUUACUUUUAAAAAGUUGCCAGAUUGUUCCACUGACAAGACCAAAAGUUACCUGGAUGUUUUGCAGUCGUAAACUGAGCUAUCAUCAUAGCACGUCGAGUCUGAAAUACCCCGAGUGGAGGAGUUUAAGUAUCUUGGGGUCUUGUUCACGAGUGAGGGCAGGAGGGAGUGAGAGAUCGACAGGCGGAUCGGUGCAGCAUCUGCUGUCAUGCGGACGUUGUAUCGGUCUGUCGUGGUGAAAACUCACUUGUAUUCUUUGGCGUUCGACUCAGCAUGACUUAGAUUUGUUCUUGAUUUUACUGCUUGGUGCUUUCUACCGCCUUUAUUACCGAUUCGUCUUACUGUUUAUUGUGUAUGUUAAAUCGCUCCAUGUACAGCACUUUGUAUGCAGCGAUGGCUGUUUGAAAGUGCUCUAUAAAUACUGUUGACUUGACUUGACUUGACUUGAAGAAGGAGCUGAGCCAAAGGGCGAAGCUCUCAAUUUACCGUUCGAUCUAUGUUCCAACCCUCAUCUAUGGUCACGAUCUAUGGGUCGUGACCGAAAGAACGAGAUCACGGAUACAAGCGGUCGAAAAUUAGUUUUCUGCGCAGGGUGUCCGGGCUUUUCCUUAGAGAUAAGGUGAGAAGCUAGAUCACCCGGGAGGGGCUCAGAGUGGAGCCGCUUCUCCUCCGCAUCGAGAGGAGCCAGAUGAGUUGGCUUGGGCAUGUGAUUCGGAUGCCUCCUGAACGCCUCCCUGGUUAGGUGUUCCGGGCAUAUCCCACCGAGAAGAGACCCAGAGGACAACCCAAGACACGCUGGAGAGACUAUGUCACCCAGCUGGCCUGGGAACGCCUAGGGAUCCCCCGGGGAGAGCUGGAAGAAGUAGCUUGGGAGAGGGAAGUCUGGGCUUCCCUGCUAAAGCUGCUGCCCCUGCGACUCGGCCCCGGAUAAGCGGUAGAAGAUGGAUGGAUAUCCUCGCUUGCUUUUCUGUUUUGAUUUAUUAUUUUCAAUUUUCGUAGUUUCAUUGAAGUCAUCAUUAGUUUACGUUUUGCGGUCUUGAACGCCUCUCGAGUCGAACUGAAGAAGAGAAGGCACGGAGACGGACAAAGACGUAACUGCAUUUGCUGAGACUGUUUUAAAAAAAACACCACAACUCUCCUUUUUUCGGAGCCGCAACAAAAACUUAUUAAAGCGACACCGUUCACUGAAUCAGCAGCAAGUUAUAACAUUGUAACCAUGUCUCCAGCAAGGAGCCAUCUUGAGGUCAACAUAACACCGUAAUGACCAUACACAAGACGCACCGGAUUUUAACGCGCUCGGUGAGCUUUUAAGAAAAUGGAAGACUUUUUGGUGCGCCCUAUAGUGCAGAAAAUAUGGUAAUGAUUUUGACCGUCUCAACAAAUACAGGUACGUCUUUGUCAGUCUCCGUGCCUGAUCUUCUUCCGUUCGACUUGAUAGGGGUUCAUGACCACCUCCAAAAAACGUAAAUUAACGAUUCCUUCAAUGAAACUACGCAAAUUGAAAAUAAUGCAUCAAAACAGAAACUCAAGUAGGGAAAUCACAAAAUAAAUUCUAUAUCCCUCCUACAGAAUUUAUUUUGUGAUUUCCUCCUUUGUGAAUACAGUAAAUAUUCCCAUCCCCGGAAUUCUAUGAAAAGGAAUAUCCUUCACCCGUAAUAAAAACCUAUGCAUUAACAUUUUGACUACGAUAUUACGUGGUACCGGAACUUACGUAAGCGGAAAUACCAUUAGCCGUAACCCGGAUGGAGGCGUAAUGCCGUGGGAGCUUAAAUACAUGCAACGCCCACCCAAUGCGACGGAAAAGGCAUGACGCUGAGACACGUUUUCACUUCGCGUUUUUCGAUCAUCGGAUUUGAAACGACGACGUAUCAUGGAAUCGAAACGUAAACGAACUUUAAUGACUGGAGCGGAGCGAGUGAAAUGCAUCCGUUUGAGCGAGGCUGGACACAAAGUUAAAAACAUCCAACAGAUACUUGGAGUCGGAAAGACGCAAAUCUACGAAACCUUAAAAAACAAGGCAUCGAUUCAACUCCUGAUGACAAGCCACCAUCCAGCAAGGAAGCAAUGCAAAUGGCAACAAAAAUCCUUCAGUAUGCACAAGAAUUAACAGACAUCGGUGAUCAACGGGACAGUUACUUGCAACUAGCAGGAAAACUGUAUGACACGCAGGCAAACAUUGUCAUAAACCAAAUAAUGCAUCCAACAAAACAAUCCAAAAUAGACACAUUUUUUUUCCCAAGACAAGAAAAAAUAAACAUUAAAAUACAUAUUUUACUGUUGUGAUCUUUUUUUGAUACACCUGUAUUGCAGUUUUUGUUAUAUAAACAGUUUUUGGACAGUA